rnacentral:lncRNA from 1 species
GUUCAACGUGACUACCAUCUAAAACUCCAUGAUUAAUUUUGACAUGAUUUUUUUUUUCUGAAAUGAACAUUGCGUCACAUACUUUGCCUGUUUUAAUUAGAUUAAAAACAAAAGAGAUUUACAAAUUUAUAAUAGCUGUGAACUGAACAAACUGUUACAUUUAGCGUGUUGCUAGAGUAAAUAAACAUAUAGCGUAUUUUUAAAACUCACAUUUGCAUGAUACGAACAAAUAACCAUAAAAAAGUUUUCAACAGACUUUGCCCAUUAUUAAGAUGUGGCGUUCUGCCAGAUAUUAACAUACAAUAGAAAAAUGAUAUAAAAGUUACAGAUUAAAAGUGUUAAGUUUGAAUAUCAAGCUUCUAAACGUACAAAAAGUUAAAUCUGUUAUUAAAAGAAGAUAGAAAUCAAAUGAUCCGUGACGAUUUCAAUUUUUGAUAUAUUUUAUUAAACUAUUUAACCGACCGUCACAUUUAUUUUUAUUUCACCUACACAGAAAAAAUUCCGAAAAAAUCUGUGGGAAUAUUUCACAAUUUGUAAUAAAACAUAUGUAAAGUAGUAGUAUAUUGAGUUGUCAAUUUUGCCGAUAUGACCCUUACAGAGUUAAUAUGCAUUCUUCAAGUCAGCCCAGGUCCUGUAGCUCUUGGAAUGUUUCGGUUCAUAUACACAUAUAUACAUGGUUGUCUUUCAAAUAGUUACCAAAAGUACCCGGCUUAUAAUUUUGAUACGCCAGACGCGCGUCUACAUAAGACUCAUUGAAGUGACGCUCAGAUCAAAAUAGUUAAAAAGUAAAACAAGUAUAAAGUUGAAAAGCAUUGAGAACCCA